rnacentral:rRNA from 1 species
UUGGAGGGCAAGUCUGGUGCCAGCAGCCGCGGUAAUUCCAGCUCCAAUAGCGUAUAUUAAAGUUGUUGCAGUUAAAAAGCUCGUAGUUGAAUUUCGAGACCGGUUUAUUGGUCGUGCUUUUGUACGUACUGGUAUUAUUGGUUUCUCCUUUCUGACGAAUCAUAAUGCCAUUAAUUUGGUGUUUUGGGGAAUCAGGACUGUUACUUUGAAAAAAUUAGAGUGUUUAAAGCAGGCUCACGCUUGAAUACAUUAGCAUGGAAUAACGAAAUAGGACGUUUGAUUUUAUUUUGUUGGUUUCUAGGAUCGACGUAAUGAUUAAUAGGGAUAGUUGGGGGCAUUAGUAUUCAAUUGUCAGAGGUGAAAUUCUUGGAUUUAUUGAAGACUAACUACUGCGAAAGCAUUUGCCAAGGAUGUUUUCAUUAAUCAAGAACGAAAGUUAGGGGAUCGAAGACGAUCAGAUACCGUCGUAGUCUUAACCAUAAACUAUGCCGACUAGGGAUCGGAUGAUGUUAAUUUUUUAAUGACUCAUUCGGCGCCUUACGGGAAAC